GGAGAAGAGCAAGUUUGUGCAGCAUAGAGGCUAAUUAAUGGCAGAGAUCAUGGAGCAACCCAGGUCCCUUGGCUUCAGCAUCUGGAACUCAAAAAGGGGACACUUAAAACACGUGAGAACUUGGUUGAUACAAGGUCUUGUUACUUAGGAAAUUGAGGGUUGGAACUCAUACCGCAAAGACAGAACAACAAAACAGUUGUCAAACCAAAACAACAAAACCCUUUGAGUUAGAUGUUCUAUGUAACACUCUCUGCCCCUCCCUAUGUCAUUUUGUAACUUUUGUUUCCAUGGGCAACGGUUAAACUCAUUCAUUUCAAGAUGAUGGCAGAAUUUGAUUGAAUGAAUGUAUAUGAGGACAGCCCAAAACAUACCACUGUGUUUGUUUUCUUAAAGAAAUGGAAAUUUUAUCUGCCAUAAGCAAGAUUGACUCAGGGACCUGCGGAUCCCCAACAAUUCACAAUAUUUAUGCAGGUUUUGUCCAACUGCUCCACGUAGGUUCAACUGCCUUUAGAGAACCAGGAGAGCCCGGGAGCUGCUGACGCAGAUGGAUAAGCCCAGAGACUCACUGAAAGUCAGGUUAGACUCAGCCGGCGGAGAUGGGCAGACGCCACGGUCUAGCGAACUGGAAACAGAAAACAUGGAGAAAUAAAUGGGAAAUAGAUUUUAGAGAAUAUGAGCUUGUCCUUUGUCCUCAGUCUGCCACUACCCCUUUCACAGCCCCACCUAUGUGGACAAGUGAGCUGGUCCUCGAGUCAGGAACUUUCUCAUGGGUCACAGAACAUCAGCGCUUUCUAACAUGCUCUCCAGCCACCCAGACUAGAUGCUGCUUCUCUCACAGGACAGCAUGCUUAAAGAAAGAUCGAUAGACUAUUCUACACCUACCUUUGUAUGCUUUCUUUGUCUUCCCUUUCUUCUUCUCUUUCUGUUCCUCCUCCUCCCCUUCUUCUUCUUCUUCUUCCUUUUUUUUUUUUUUUUUUUUAAACUGGGAGUGGGAGUUAUUACUUCAUUCACCGUGGUGGCCCCAUUAGAGUAGAAAGUUCAAACUCAGUGCCUUCCCACUGGUUUCUCUAGGUGCUUUCACAAUGCUCACUGAAUGUACAUUGAAUGCAUGAAUGUUUGUAAAAGGGUACCAAGGUUGAAGAGCCAUCAUAAUUACCCCACUGUGCCCACUUUAAUUGCUGUUUAUUCUCUUUCCCUCCAGUGAGCCUUGCCCAGACUGGGGAGAGAAACAAUACUUUGUUCAUCUUCGAAUCUCUAUGAACUGGAAGACUAUCUAUGCUUCGUAAUAGGUCCUCAAUGUAUACUUGUUUGAAUGAAUCAAUAGCUAAAUUAAUGAAUGAACAAUCCCUAGAUCUAAGCAUGAUUUAGGGAAAUGAUGGGACAUAAUAAGGUCCCAUUCUUGAGGCCAUUUUGGCAAAGGCCUUGUAAGCAAGACUGAGGAGGUGGGGCUUUAUUGCUUGAUCUUGUUGCUCUAGGGAAUGGCUGAAGAUUUUGAAGGAGUGAGAGAAUGAUAUAGUGACGAAGCCUAUUGAGAAAGAUCAUUCUGAUGGUUAUGUAACAUCGAAGUCACUGUUGAUCUCGAAGUGUGACAAAGGAGGCUUCAGUGAACAAAGGGCUUUUUAUAUAAACACAGAUGUGGCUGCCUUAAAUCUAUUGUCUAUUAAUGGAAAUAAAUACACUUUAUUCGCCUUAUGUGGUUGGAGAGUGUUAGUGAAACUAGUAUGAACUAAAUGUGUGCAAUUAUUUAUCAUUUCAGAAAAAUAUGAAGUCCCAAGGAGCUCCUAGACCUUAAUGGCAAUCAAGACUGUCCUCAAACGAAGAGAGGGAAAUGCUCCUUUUCUCACAUUAAACAUCCCUCUGGGAACGAGAAUUCUUUGAUUACUGUGGUCCUUCAGGGUGCUGGACAUCAAGUUGAGUGAUGUAGU
rnacentral:lncRNA from 1 species